UUGUGCCUACGGGGGGCAGCAGUAGGGAAUUUUCGUCAAUGGGCGCAAGCCUGAACGAGCGAUGCCGCGUGAGUGAAGAAGGCCUUCGGGUCGUAAAGCUCUGUUGCGGGGGAAAAAAGGCAGCAUCAGGAAAUGGGUGCUGACUGAUGGUGCCCCGCCAGACAGUCACGGCUAACUACGUGCCAGCAGCCGCGGUAAUACGUAGGUGGCGAGCGUUAUCCGGCUUUAUUGGGUUUAAAGGGUGCGUAGGCGGGCUUUUAAGUCAGCGGUACAAAUUCGGGGCUCAACCCCGUCCGGUCGUUGAA
rnacentral:rRNA from 1 species